rnacentral:SRP_RNA from 2 species
GCCGGGUGGGGUGGCGCGCACCUGUAAUCCCAGCUACUCGGGAGGCUGAGGCAGGAGAAUUGCUUGAACCCAGGAGGCGGAGGUCGCAGGGAGCCAAGAUCAUGACUGCACUGCACUCCAGCCUGGGUGACAGAGCAAGACUCUGUCUAAA